UACGUAGGGGGCAAGCGUUGUCCGGAAUUAUUGGGCGUAAAGCGCGCGCAGGCGGUCGAUUAAGUUUGGUGUUUAAGGCUGAGGCUCAACCUCAGUUCGCACUGAAAACUGGUUGACUUGAGUACAGAAGAGGAAAGUGGAAUUCCACGUGUAGCGGUGAAAUGCGUAGAUAUGUGGAGGAACACCAGUGGCGAAGGCGACUUUCUGGGCUGUAACUGACGCUGAGGCGCGAAAGCGUGGGUAGCAAACAGGAUUAGAUACCCUGGUAGUCCACGCCGUAAACGAUGAAUGCUAGGUGUUAGGGGUUUCGAUACCCUUGGUGCCGAAGUUAACACAUUAAGCAUUCCGCCUGGGGAGUACGGUCGCAAGACUGAA
rnacentral:rRNA from 1 species